UACGGGGGGAGCUAGCGUUGUUCGGAAUUACUGGGCGUAAAGCGCACGUAGGCGGCUUUGUAAGUUAGAGGUGAAAGCCCGGGGCUCAACUCCGGAACUGCCUUUAAGACUGCAUCGCUUGAAUCCGGGAGAGGUGAGUGGAAUUCCGAGUGUAGAGGUGAAAUUCGUAGAUAUUCGGAAGAACACCAGUGGCGAAGGCGACUCACUGGACACGUAUUGACGCUGAGGUGCGAAAGCGUGGGGAGCAAACAGG
rnacentral:rRNA from 1 species